GGGGCUGUUUUGGUUUUGACAUUUGAAUGAAUUACUUCAUGAAUCAGGUCGAAGCAUGUAUUCUUCGUUAAAAACUUACAUAUUUUAUAAUAAUUGCUAAAACUAUAAUUUUAUCGUUUUUUACUUUUGUAAAUUCUAUUUUUAAAAUUAAUCAGUUAAAUUUAGUUAAAUUUGCUGUUUAAUUAUUAUUUUUUUUCUAUUGUUUCACUGGAAAUUAACAUUAAGUGGGUUUCUAGUUUAGAAUAUUCUAAUGAUCAAUUUUGUUCUUCCGAACUAUGCCUGUGAGUAAGUGUAGUAAAAUAGUUUAAAAUGGACGUGGGUUCGAUUCCCAUCAGCUCCA